rnacentral:rRNA from 1 species
GAUGAACGCUGGCGGCGUGCCUAAUACAUGCAAGUCGAGCGAACGGACGAGAAGCUUGCUUCUCUGAUGUUAGCGGCGGACGGGUGAGUAACACGUGGAUAACCUACCUAUAAGACUGGGAUAACUUCGGGAAACCGGAGCUAAUACCGGAUAAUAUUUUGAACCGCAUGGUUCAAAAGUAAAAGACGGUCUUGCUGUCACUUAUAGAUGGAUCCGCGCUGCAUUAGCUAGUUGGUAAGGUAACGGCUUACCAAGGCAACGAUGCAUAGCCGACCUGAGAGGGGGAUCGGCCACACAGGAGCUGAGACGCGGUCCAGACUCCGACGGGAGGCAGCAGUAGGGAAGCUUCCGCAAUGGGCGAAAGCCUGACGGAGCAACGCCGCGUGAGUGAUGAAGGGCUUCGGAUCGUAAAACGCUGUUAUUAGGGAAGAACAUAUGUGUAAGUAACUGUGCACAUCUUGACGGUACCUAAUCAGAAAGCCACGGCUAACUACGU